rnacentral:rRNA from 1 species
CUCGAAAGAGAGCCGUAACACAGGUGCUGCAUGGCUGUCGUCAGCUCGUGUCGUGAGAUGUUGGGUUAAGUCCCGCAACGAGCGCAACCCUUGUCAUUAGUUGCUACAUUCAGUUGGGCACUCUAAUGAGACUGCCGGUGACAAGCCGGAGGAAGGUGGGGAUGACGUCAAGUCCUCAUGGCCCUUAUAGGUGGGGCUACACACGUCAUACAAUGGCUGGUACAAAGGGUUGCCAACCCGCGAGGGGGAGCCAAUCCCACAAAGCCGGUCGUAGUCCGGAUCGCAGUCUGCAACUCGACUGCGUGAAGUCGGAAUCGCUAGUAAUCGCGGAUCAGCAUGUCGCGGUGAAUACGUUCCCGGGUCUU